UCAGUUCGGAUUGUAGUCUGCAACCGACUACAUGAAGCUGGAAUCGCUAGUAAUCGCGAAUCAGAAUGUCGCGGUGAAUACGUUCCCGGGUCUUGUACACACCGCCCGUCACACCAUGGGAGUCGGAUAUGCCCGAAGCCGGUGACCUAACCGCAAGGAAGGAGCCGUCGAAGGUGGAGCCGAUGACUGGGGUGAAGUCGUAACAAGGUACC
rnacentral:rRNA from 1 species